CAAUAUGGGAAUGAGGGAAGCAUUGUACUGCUCCAAGCCUACUUAGAUCAAGUGAAAUUUCAGAGCGAAGACUUUCAGUCAAAUCCAGAUCUUCUAUCAGCUAUCUUUAGAUACUUUUUGGGUAGACCAAAUUUCACCACAGUUUUCUAUGAAGCACUGAGAAGUAAAUUGAUGAGUGAAGGAUUUCUAGAAGGUCUCUCCAAGCAAUUGCAUUUGUCUACACCCAAGAAUAUUGUUGUUGGUCUUGCUCUGUCAGAUUCAGGAAAUACGGAUUUCAUAAUCAGAGAUGAGUUGCUUGGAGGAAUGUAUCACACGCUCCAUGAAUUACAUGGUGCAUUUGUCCACUGUGACACCAGUGUAUUUUUUCCAUUUCUCUUUCAUUUCAUAGAUCAGAUGCACUUAUUCCUGCAUCAUAUUCUAUUGCAUUGUCUUUUGGUUUUCUAAUUGAUUUUGGUGAUAGGGAAGAUGAUCCAUGUCCCGAGCAAAAAUGAGCAUGCUCUUGAUAUGGCUACUGCAGUUCAUCAUCAAUUAGGAGAUACUAAUGAGCUAAAUGAUGGCAAUGCCUCAAUGAAGAAGAGAACUAAUGUGUUACUUCUUGGUGAUCGCCUUGGAGAUCUAGGAAUGUCUGAUGGUUUGAACUAUGAGAACCAAAUUGUUGUUGGAUUCUUGUAAGCACUUGUGGUGAAGCUAAGGGAAGGCACCGGGCCAAAUGCUAAUACUGGUGUUGUCACUAGAGUUCUUGCAACUGUUGGGGAGCUUGCUAGGGUGGGAGGUUUUGGAAUGAAGCAAUAUCUUGGUGAACUAAUGCAAGUAAUUGUUGAAGCCCUCUUGGAUGGAGCUGCUAUUAUAAAGUGGGAAGUGGCUGUCGCAACUCUUAGUCAAGUUGUACAGAGCACUAGGUAUUGUGUUCUCAUUGCUAGUCCAAGCUAGAAUAAAGAAGGAUGGUUAUGUCAGCCUAUCAGGUUCGGGGGCUCCCUUGUGCCCACAAUUUCCAAGUGGAAUGCAUUGACGAGUGGCUCCAGCUGAAUGUGAAGUGCCCCCAUUGCCACUACUCCAUCUUCCCUAACCUCGACCUCAGCGCCCUCUCCAACCUUCACGCUGACUCUGGGCGUCCCUCUACUAGUGUUUUGACGGCCACACACUACGUGCACAUGCAACCAGUAGGCCAGAGCUACCUGUUGAGGUUGUAGGGCCUGCUAUGCACAAUCCGAAUGGAGAAUGCUGGUGGAGGCAAUGAUGAUGCUAGCCUGGAAGCAGCAGAAGAUGGAUGGGCAGUGUUAUCUCAGGGUCUACCAAGCACAACGGCACCGGUGAUGACGGGCAUGACCAUGACUUUGUAUUAUUUGUGGAACCUAAUGUUGUGUAACAAUUUGAUUAAGUUAAACUUUAAAUCGACUAUUGUUAACUAUUUUGUAGGUAUUGUGGCAUUCAUGA